rnacentral:rRNA from 1 species
CGGGGGGAGCAAGCGUUGUUCGGAUUUACUGGGCGUAAAGGGCGCGUAGGCGGCGCAACAAGUCACUUGUGAAAUCUCCGGGCUUAACACGGAGCGGCCAAGUGAUACUGUCGUGCUAGAGUGCGGAAGGGGCUACUGGAAUUCUCGGUGUAGCGGUGAAAUGCGUAGAUAUCGAGAGGAACACCUGCGGCGAAGGCGGGUAGCUGGGCCGACACUGACGCUGAGGCGCGAAAGCCAGGGGAGCGAACGGGAUUAGAUACCCCGGUAGUCCUGGCCUUAAACGAUGGAUGCUUGGUGUCCGGGGUUACAUAGUCCCCGGGUGCCGGCGCUAACGCAUUAAGCAUCCCGCCUGGGGAGUACGGUCGCAAGACUG